CUCCCCUUCAUAUUUUUGCAGGUUAUAUUCUACCAUUCAUAUGCAAGAAAUACACUUUUAUCAAUAAAGAGGGGAGAUCAUUCCAUUCUCCAGGUCGAUUUGAUUCUCGCUAAAAGGGCUCGUUCGUCUACACGCUCCACCUGUAUUCCAGGUUCCAUUCUCGAAGUGGGCAGUAGAUGCAGCCUAGGGUUUGGUCUCCUCUGUGUAUGACUAUUGGUCUGAAGAACCAGUGAGCAGUGGAGACAAUGGCAAUGUCCGUGUUCG